rnacentral:rRNA from 1 species
GAUGAACGCUGGCGGCGUGCUUAACACAUGCAAGUCGAACGGUGAACGAGGGAGCUUGCUCCCUCCGGAUCAGUGGCGAACGGGUGAGUAACACGUGAGCAACCUGCCCUGGACUCUGGGAUAAGCGUUGGAAACGACGUCUAAUACCGGAUACGAGACGCGAAGGCAUCUUCAGCGUCUGGAAAGAACUUCGGUCCAGGAUGAGCUCGCGGCCUAUCAGGUAGUUGGUGAGGUAACGGCUCACCAAGCCUACGACGGGUAGCCGGCCUGAGAGGGUGACCGGCCACACUGGGAAUGAGACACGGCCCAGACUCCUACGGGAGGCAGCAGUGGGGAAUAUUGCACAAUGGGCGCAAGCCUGAUGCAGCAACGCCGCGUGAGGGACGACGGCCUUCGGGUUGUAAACCUCUUUUAGCAGGGAAGAAGCGAAAGUGACGGUACCUGCAGAAAAAGCACCGGCUAACUACGUGCCAGCCGCCGCGGUAAAAC